UGGGGAAUUUUGGACAAUGGGCGAAAGCCUGAUCCAGCAAUGCCGCGUGUGUGAAGAAGGCCUUCGGGUUGUAAAGCACUUUUGUCCGGAAAGAAAUGGCUCUGGUUAAUACCUGGGGUCGAUGACGGUACCGGAAGAAUAAGGACCGGCUAACUACGUGCCAGCAGCCGCGGUAAUACGUAGGGUCCAAGCGUUAAUCGGAAUUACUGGGCGUAAAGCGUGCGCAGGCGGUUGUGCAAGACCGAUGUGAAAUCCCGAGCUUAACUUGGGAAUUGCAUUGGUGACUGCACGGCUAGAGUGUGUCAGAGGGGGGUUAGAAUUCCACGUGUAGCAGUGAAAUGCGUAGAGAUGUGGAGGAAUACCGAUGGCGAAGGCAGCCCCCUGGGAUAACACUGACGCUCAUGCACGAAAGCGUGGGGAGCAAACAGGAUUAGAUACCCUGGUAGUCCACGCCCUAAACGAUGUCAACUAGUUGUUGGGGAUUCAUUUCCUUAGUAACGUAGCUAACGCGUGAAGUUGAUCCGCCUGGGGAGUACGGUCGCAAGA
rnacentral:rRNA from 1 species